CUUUAGAGGAAAAAUUAGGGCAUCAGAGGGUGUGGCCGAAUGUGCAAAAAGGCAAGGGUGAUGGUGAUGGUAAUGGUGAGGGUGGAGUUUGAAUCAAACAAGAUUGGACAAGGAAAACAUUUUCUUACCUUCUUUUUUUCACAAAUAUCACAAUAAAACAUGGAUGAAACUAUCGAUUGAUGAUAGAGUUCUAUUAUUGUGAUAUUAGUGAAAAACAAAAGGUACAGAUAUGAGGCCGACGGCGAUGACCAGAUUCUGACGGAAAUACACUCACCGUCUGCUGCGUGCUUCUUUAUUAUCUUUGCCUCUAUUUAUUUAUUUUUACUGUUGAUUUUAUUAGUGCCAUUUCAAUUAUUGGGGGGUGGAUUUUUAUCAUUAGUGGCGGAAAAUAGUGAUUUGAUUCAUUACACUGUGUUGGCUGAAUCUUAUUAUCAGUGGAAGAUUGAUGGCUAUGGCGACAAUAGAUCUGAUGCCAUUAACUUUGGAUCUAUCGGAGAUUGGACUGAAUGCUGAUUCUAAGGUUUUCGUUUUUUUCGUUGUAAGGUUGAUUGUGUUUGCUCUGUAAGCUUCUAAUUUUGUGAUGUUCGAAGCAGACAUUGGUUAGGACUGGUGUUGUAUGCCUACUGAUAUGCUUUGUUUUAUGGCGUGUUAGAAGCUUUUAGAAACCAACCUAUUUAAGUGUAUAUAAUAUGAAUAAUAUAUAAGGGUUUAAGCUUGCUUGUGGUUCUUCAGCUUCGUCACCAACUGUUAUUGUACCUCAAGGAAGGACUUCUCUACUGCAACCCUUUACUUUCAACUCAAUGAUAUUAGUUUCCAUAUUGAUGGGAAAAUCAUAGCCCCAAACAAACCUUCUGCAUGGGAAUGCAAAAGGAAUUGUCACCAUCAAUGACCAGGGAGAUAAGUGGUGAAACUUUCUUGCAAACAUAAGGAAAAGACAUCAGCUGUGAAGAUCAGUAGUAUAGCUUAUCAAGAUAUCAAUAGGGAACAUCAUAUAGUGAAAUAGCAGUACAGUUAUAUCCAUACUAUUUGGUGUGAAAGGAAUGAGAGGCUUUUUUGGGAAGACUCCUACCAUGGCAGAUACACUGGUUUUGAAGAUUAAAGAAACAGUUAAGAUUAGACUGAUGGGUAAAUGUGUUAAUAUGAGGGAUACUGUAUUUUGAAUCAUUGUGGUUAGGUUGAAUUUGUAUAGCAUUUGACUUUGUUUUGUUGUUCUUUUGUAGCAACUUUUGCUGCUUCUUGGGUAAUAAAAUAGCAAAGUUUUCAUUUUUUUUGGAUGAAAAA